UACGUAGGGUGCGAGCGUUGUCCGGAAUUAUUGGGCGUAAAGGGUGCGUAGGCGGCGCGGUAAGUCGGGUGUGAAAUCUCGGGGCUUAACUCCGAAACUGCAUUCGAUACUACCGUGCUUGAGGACUGGAGAGGAGACUGGAAUUUACGGUGUAGCGGUGAAAUGCGUAGAUAUCGUAAGGAAGACCAGUGGCGAAGGCGGGUCUCUGGACAGUUCCUGACGCUGAGGCACGAAGGCCAGGGGAGCAAACGGG
rnacentral:rRNA from 1 species